GUGGGGCGCUGCGGAGACCUGUCGGCCGGCGGCGCAGGAGUGCCAACCUGGGGCGCCGGGCGACCGGACGCGUGGCCGCCACUACCGGGACGGUCUGGCCCCGCGGGCCUCGGACUCCCUUUAUCAGGGGUCGCUUUUCGGUCGUAUGCCUUGGCGCUUGUACGCUUCGCUGGCAAUGCGAGCACGCUCCCAGCACCCCCGCACACUGGUGCACGCACGCUCAGCUUGUUUUGCACCGUGCCUACACACUUAGCGUGCUCCUGCUGUUAGGCCCCCACGCUGCACGUCAUAGCGGUGGCCCAACCUGUCCUUGCCUAGUCUCCGGCCCGGCGGCCCGCACUCCGACGCGAGCUCCCCUCCUCCCAGCCCAGCAGCCCUACUCGCGCACGGAAGUGCGUCGCAGGAGGAAAAGCACCCUCCCCCCCACCCGGUGUCCUGGGAGGCGAACCCCCUGCAGUUCAGGAGAAAGAAAACCUUUCACCAUAACCCUGAGAAGAAAAUAUUUUCAAGUAUUAUCUCCAUCCCACUGAUAAGGGAACUGAGCUGCAAAAAGCGUGAAUUCAGGCUCAGUGGCGUCCCGGUUUUUCUGUGGACAUAAGCUUUCAACUCAUUCGAGUAAAUACCAAGGAGCAUGAUUUCUAGAUCAUAUGGGGAGAGGCAGAGAGAGGGGGAGACAAAGAGAAUCUCAAGCAGGUCCUGCACUGCCAGCGUGGAGUCUGAUGUGGAGCUCGAACUCACGAACCAUGACAUCAUGACCUGAGCCGAAAUCAAGAGUUGGACGCUUAACCAACAGCCACCCAGGCGCCCCAGGUUUUUUGUUUUGUUUUGAGUAGAGUAUUUCUUUCACAUGUUGUCAGUUGUGUAUUAACAUCAUCAUAGUUUAUCAGUUUGAGGGUUGAAAUUUCUUCCCUCUUAAUGCAAACUAGUAAUAAAAAGACAAAGGCAAAUCUGUAGAAUAUGGCAUAGAGGGAAUUCUCCUCAAAAUUAAUGUUACAAAGAACUGCUGGGUUUUGCAUUUAUUCCAUCAAGUAAGUACUAUUCUCUAAGCCUGUAUCUUAUGAUAUUCCACGGACUUCCAUGAAGUCCAUCCUAUAAGCCUUGUUUUUCUUCUCUGGGCUCCCAUAUCACUAUGUUUAUAAUUAUUUAAGU